UCUAUGGGAUGGACAGCUCUCAUAUGUCUUGUAAGUGUUCCAGUCCCUCCUAAAUUUCGUUCGGUCAAAUGUUGAAAAGUUCCGUUACAAAAUUUGCACUUAACACUAUUAGUACCUUCUAUUAUUUCAAAAAAAUUCCAUACCGAACUUCUUCUUUUACGAUUAGAAGUCGGGUCAUUACUAUUACUACCAGAAGCUACAAGACUAGCAUCAUUAAACAUAUUGUAAAAAUG
rnacentral:lncRNA from 1 species